CACGUAGGCACCAAGCGUUGUCCGGAUUUAUUGGGCGUAAAGAGCUCGUAGGCGGUUCGGUAAGUCGGGGGUGAAAUCUCUGGGCUCAACCCAGAGGGGCCACCCGAUACUGCUGUGACUAGAGUGCGGUAGGGGAGUGGGGAAUUCCUGGUGUAGCGGUGAAAUGCGCAGAUAUCAGGAGGAACACCAGUGGCGAAGGCGCCACUCUGGGCCGUAACUGACGCUGAGGAGCGAAAGCGUGGGUAGCAAACAGG
rnacentral:rRNA from 1 species